UACGUAGGGGUGAGCGUUAUCCGGAAUUAUUGGGCGUAAAGGGUUCGCAGGCGGCCUUGUAAGUCAGAUGUGAAAGACAGCGGCUUAACCGUUGUAAGCAUUUGAAACUGCAGGGCUUGAGUACAGGAGAGGAAAGCGGAAUUCCUAGUGUAGCGGUGAAAUGCGUAGAUAUUAGGAGGAACAUCAGUGGCGAAGGCGGCUUUCUGGACUGAUACUGACGCUGAGGAACGAAAGCGUGGGGAGCAAACAGGAUUAGAUACCCCUGUAGUCCCU
rnacentral:rRNA from 1 species